rnacentral:rRNA from 1 species
AUUGAACGCUGGCGGCAGGCCUAACACAUGCAAGUCGAACGAGUGGCGGACGGGUGAGUAAUGUCUGGGAAACUGCCUGAUGGAGGGGUAUAACUACUGGAAACGGUAGCUAAUACCGCAUACCAUCGGAUGUGCCCAGAUGGGAGUAGCUAGUAGGUGGGGGAAAGGCUCACCUAGUCGACGAUCCCUAGCUGGUCUGAGAGGAUGACCAGCAACAAGGGAACUGAGACACGGUCCAGACUCCUACGGGAGGCAGCAGUGGGGAAGAUUGCACAAUGGGCGCAAGCCUGAGGCAGCCAGGCCGCGUGUAUGAAGAAGGCCUUCGGGUUGGAAAGUACUUUCAGCGGGGAGGCGUUACCCGCAGAAGAAGCACCGGCUAACUCCGUGCCAGAAGCCGCGGUAAUAC